CUGCUGCCUCCCGUAGGAGUCUGGUCCGUGUCUCAGUACCAGUGUGGGGGACCUUCCUCUCAGAACCCCUAGACAUCGUCGCCUUGGUGGGCCGUUACCCCGCCAACAAGCUAAUGUCACGCAUGCCCAUCCGUCUCCGGAGUCGCCUCCUUUGGCCGAAAGAAGAUGCCUCCCCUCGGCCACAUGCGGUAUUAGGCCGGAUUUCUCCGGGUUAUCCCGCUGAAACGGGCAGGUUGCAUACGCGUUACGCACCCGUCGCCGGUCGCCGG
rnacentral:rRNA from 1 species